rnacentral:lncRNA from 1 species
UUAUUAUUUUUAAUUAUAUUUUCUUAGUUCAUAUAAAUAUCUAAUAAAUUAAGUAUGAAAUUUGUGUUUUAGUAUAUAUAUAAUAACACAAGUGAAACUGGCUGCUUUAUGUUUAAUGUGGAAAAUAGGAUAUGCUCAUAAAAUACAAGCAGAGAUAACAGCGCAUAACUACGCAGUCCUCAUCAGUUGUAGCAACUGAUGGAUGACAUACAAGGUGGCACAAUCACUCGCAUCACCAUUUAUUCAUACCUACCAUAAUACAUCGAGUUUUAAGUCGUUUAUUUGGAUGGAUAGGAGAUGGGGGAUUGUGCCUUGCUUGGGGGGCUACCUUGUAGUUAAGGAGCUGGGGGCUUUUUGUAAGACGGAGGCUUCUUGUAAGGUGGAGGCUUCUUGUAAGGUGGGGGCUUCUUGUAAGGAGGCUUGUAGACUGGUGGCUUCUUAGGGGGCUUGUAAUGAGUUGGUGGCUUAUUCACCUUGGGAGGCUUGUAAUAAGGUUUCUUGAAGGUUUCAGGUUCAUAGAUUGGAAUGUCGGGCUCAGAAGGGUCAUAUUUUGGCUUGUAAUCAGCAAGGGUUGGACUAGCUAUAAAAGCUAUAGCUACUCCGACGAACAACAGUGCUACCAAGAUUGCAUGCAUUUUUAGGUUUCCAAUGAUGCUGCAUUACAAAAGAGGUAUGGGUGCCUUUUAUAGACGUCUCAGAUCUUUGCUGGGUACACGUGUCACAGUUUGGUUCACAGUUUUUUCUGUCGGCAUAAGUCAAAAAUGGUUUCUAAAUUUUCGUGGAGACAAUAAAUGAGAUGGGC